rnacentral:rRNA from 1 species
AACGAACGCUGGCGGCGUGCCUAACACAUGCAAGUCGUGCGAGAAAGUUCCUUCGGGAGCGAGUAAAGCGGCGCACGGGUGAGUAACACGUAGGUAACCUGCCCCCCAGUCUGGAACAACUAGAGGAAACUCUAGCUAAUGCCGGAUGAGACCACGAUCCCUUCGGGGGUUGCGGCCAAAGAUGGCCUCUACUUGUAAGCUAUCGCUGAGGGAUGGGCCUGCGGGCCAUUAGCUUGUUGGUGAGGUAACGGCUCACCAAAGGCUGUGAUGGCUAGCUGGUCUGAGAGGAUGACCAGCCACACUGGGACUGAGACACGGCCCAGACUCCUACGGGAGGC